AGCCAUACAAGGAGUGGAUCCGGUGACGCGCCGGCCGCGCCCCUUCUCCUUCUCGAUUUGGCUGCAGAUUCCGGUCCCAAGAUUUGCAUAUUUUGGCAUCCAGUGGAAAAGGAAAGAAGAACGGAACCCGCAGCCUUUAAAGGAACCGCACAGGCUGAUCUCUCCCCAGGAGGGGCAGCAGAGUGAGGAGCUAGAAGCCCUUAUCCUGUUCGAUUGGGGCCUGCGCUGGGAAAGGCAGAGGCAGUGGAAGCAUUUGGGAUCCUUAAGCUUCCAGGGCCCCAGAGGCGGUGGAGUGCAGCCACUCCCAACUGAAGGAGACGGCGGCCCCUCUCCCGACACUUUUCGGCACGCUGGACUUGUUGCUCCCAAGUAGAAGAGCAUGGGGCAAGGUUUGCCGACCUGCACCAGGGCUUGCUUACCCGUCAGCAAGAUUGGAUAGGAGUCUGGGGACACGAUUCCUUCCCUCUCCUUUCUGCUAGUUCUUUGCAUAAAACGGGAGCCUUCAAUUCAAUUAAAGUCUUCAUUAAAGCUUCACUGUGACCUUG